CCUACGGGAGGCUGAACCAGCCAAGUCGCGUGAGGGAAGACGGCCCUACGGGUUGUAAACCUCUUUUGUCAGGGAGCAAGGUUCAGGUCGGGACCUGCUGUGAGAGUACACGAAGCAAAAGCAUCGGCUAACUCCGUGCCAGCCGCCCCGGUAAUACGGAGGAUGCGCGCGUUCUCCGGAUUUAUUGGGUUAUAAGGGUGCGCAGGCGGAGGGACAAGUCAGCGGUAAAAUCGCGGGGCUCAACCCCGCUCCGCCGUUGAAACUGUGUCCCUUGAGUGCGCGAAGGGUAGGCGGAAUGCGUGGUGUAGCGGUGAAAUGCAUAGAUAUCACGCAGAACUCCGAUCGCGAAGGCAGCCUACCGGCGCGCAACUGACGCUCAUGCACGAAAGCGUGGGUAUCGAACAGGAUUAGAUACCCUAGUAGUC
rnacentral:rRNA from 1 species